GAACGAUGAAGCCCAGCUUGCUGGGUGGAUUAGUGGCGAACGGGUGAGUAACACGUGAGUAACCUGCCCUGGACUCUGGGAUAACCCCGAGAAAUCGGAGCUAAUACCGGAUAGGACCUUGGAUCGCAUGAUUUUUGGUGGAAAGUUUUUCGGUUUGGGAUGGACUCGCGGCCUAUCAGCUUGUUGGUGAGGUAAUGGCUCACCAAGGCGUCGACGGGUAGCCGGCCUGAGAGGGUGACCGGCCACACUGGGACUGAGACACGGCCCAGACUCCUACGGGAGGCAGCAGUGGGGAAUAUUGCACAAUGGGCGCAAGCCUGAUGCAGCAACGCCGCGUGCGGGAUGACGGCCUUCGGGUUGUAAACCGCUUUUAGUAAGGAAGAAGGGGAGCUUGCUCCUUGACGGUACUUGCAGAAAAAGGACCGGCUAACUACGUGCCAGCAGCCGCGGUAAUACGUAGGGUCCGAGCGUUGUCCGGAAUUAUUGGGCGUAAAGAGCUCGUAGGCGGUUUGUCGCGUCUGCUGUGAAAUCCCGGGGCUCAACUCCGGGCCUGCAGUGGGUACGGGCAGACUUGAGUGGUGUAGGGGAGACUGGAAUUCCUGGUGUAGCGGUGGAAUGCGCAGAUAUCAGGAGGAACACCGAUGGCGAAGGCAGGUCUCUGGGCACUUACUGACGCUGAGGAGCGAAAGCGUGGGGAGCGAACAGGAUUAGAUACCCUGGUAGUC
rnacentral:rRNA from 1 species